GGUUGCUGCAAGCUGUUCUGCUUGCAUCUCAGGCAUUCGACGCAGAAUAGCAUCAAAGGAGACAUGCUGACUGGUAGAUGAGGUGCAAGCCUGAAGAUCCACGUCCACAAGGUGUGAUCUUUUGUCAUUUCUUUUCCCUACAGGUUUCUUAUAUGCUCCAUAUUUUGCUUAAGCUCAAUUCUGAUGGCAAGUACUAGCCAUAUUGUUCCUUAAUUUGGCUACAUUUUCAAUUCAUCUUCCAUACUACUGCUUUAGUUAAUAAUUGUAUGGCUGACCAGUGUUCUUAAGAGGGAGUAAUAAUUAUAGAAGAGUCAAAUCUGUCGAGUUAUGCUUGGAAGCCUCAGAACUCAGAAUAGGUGAUUAGUUUGUAUCUAAUGACUACUGCUUUAGUGAAGAAUAUCGGUAAAACAGUUGGCCGUGAUCUACCAUUCCCCUAAUUUAGUGUAUUCAUUAGUUAAAUGAGAAUAUCAGUCAUCAUAUUGAGAUCAUUUAAUUAAUUUUGCAUGCUCACAUUUUUUUCCCAUUCUCCCUCCUGAACUACUAUGCAUCUCUAUCCAAUAAGAAUAAUUGCAUCUUCUGUAUCUUGCAUUCUGUAUCUUGAAUUCCUAUGUAGCCCUGUAUUGUUUGUGCAUGCUUGGUCAACAAUGGAUGGACCGACCUGAAAAGGAAAGCUGCUCUUGGCUACUCAAAUUGUAAGCUAUCUCAUAAUUAAGGAGCAGGGUGGCACCUCUGUUGCUCUCUGAACCACCAACCACACCACAGAGCGGCAGCAAGAUUACUGAACCGAGAUUACAUGUCCUCCCCAAUCUCCAUAUGCUACAUUGAACUGAUCUUGGUAGAGCCAGUAAAGAAAAGAAUAUGUGGUUUCUGUAACCUUCCGAUUCCCACCGUCUGAACCUCUUCUCCUGAAGGAAAACCCUGUGGUUUCUGGGAUUUUAUUUUGUGAUGUUUCGAUCUUUUUUUUUUGUUUGGAACAACUUGUGAUGUUUCAAUCUGGUUUUGUGGAUCUUGGGGGCAUAAUGUUUCCGGAUGAUAUCUUGCUGAAAUCUGUGUAUGAUUGAUGCAAUGUGCUAAGACCCUGAAUCAAAUCUGCAGGCCUCAAAGGCUCGAAGCGAGGUGGCAAGGUGCCGGUGCCGGUGCCAGCCAAGCUCGGACGCAGCAUGGGCUGCUACAGCCUGGAGCCACGGGCAGACAAGGCCAUAUGGGCACGUUGCGGUGGGUCAGUCCCGGGUGGUGGCGAGAGGGCGGCGUGGCAACAUGCUCCUGGUUGAUCUUGAGCUCAAGCAUAGCAACGAGCGCCGGCCAGCACGGCGGAUAUGCUCAUAAACCUGCUAUAUCCAGUUAUCAUUCCGAUUCCAUAUAUGGGUGAUAAGGGCAACUAGCACUAGAAAACUGUCACUAAUGACCACGAAACAACACCUACCUUUCAAUGUGCUAUCGCCUUGCAUUUAGGGAAGCAAAUAGUAAGGCAGUGAUCUAAGAGCACAUAUUGUGAUGGCAUUACUUUUAUUGGUCUUCCGCAGCACUAAGUCAUGAACCCAUGGAUUGUUCCUGCAAUUCGACAUGUUGUCAUAUGUAAAACUUGUAUUUGAGUAAAACAGUGCAUAUGUUAGCAUAUUAACGAUGUAUUUAUUACAAUAUGGUGUGAUUUUGUGUUGAAUUAUUAUCAUAUACUAUGCAUGA